AUCAACAAGAAGCUACAAGAAAAAUCUAGAGAAAAGAAAGGGGAGAAACUUGAAGCUAGAGAGAGAGGGAGCUCGGAUUUGGAGAAACAAAGCCCAAAACGUUACCAAACAGCCCCGAAGUUUCAGCUGCGCUAAGGAGGUUUCCGAGGCAUAAUUUUGUCUAGUUUUGGCCAAUUUCGGGUAAGGUUCAAAGGACGACGAGGCAAACGGGAUAAAGAGUAACCCGUAAGAGGUACAUAUACACCAUUUGGGAAUCCGCCAGCAUAGGAGUCCCACUCAGCAGUCCGAAAGUGCUCCAUUGUGAUGGAGCCUGAUUUUGGGUACUAAACCUUAUUGGAUAUAUUUGUUUUGCUCACGGGUACGGCGGGGCCCCUGUCCCGCCUUAUGUUACUAUUUUCUUACUCUUAGAGGUCUGUGGAUACGGAUGUGGGUUGUACGUAUGUGGGUUUUAUGUGUACGUGGGUUGUAUAUGAGUUGUUUAUGAGUUGUGUAUGAGCUGCAUACGAGUUGUAUACGAGUGGUAGAUGAGUUGUAUAUGUAUGUAUGUACAGUUGUACUGAUAUGACUUAUGAUUUGGGGGCGUUCCCUGUGUCGUGGUGGCCUUGCCGGCUCACGUAUAUGCGUGUUAUGGAACAACCCUAUACAUUGCUACAGCCUCAUC